ACUUGCAACACUCCGAGGCCAGGAACGCUCCGUCUGGAACGGCGCAGGUCCCAGCAGCUGGGGUUCCCCCUCAGCCCGUGAGCGGCCAUGUCCAGCCCCAGCGCUCCACCACCAUAUGAGGACCGCAACCCCCUGUACCCAGGCCCUCCGCCCCCUGGGGGCUAUGGGCAGCCAUCCGUCCUGCCAGGAGGGUAUCCUGCCUACCCUGGCUACCCGCAGCCUGGCUACGGUCACCCUGCUGGCUACCCACAGCCCAUGCCCCCCAUCCACCCGAUGCCCAUGAACUAUGGCCCAGGCCAUGGCUAUGAUGGGGAGGAGAGAGCGGUGAGUGAUAGCUUCGGGCCUGGAGAGUGGGAUGACCAGAAAGUGCGACACACUUUUAUCCGAAAGGUUUACUCCAUCAUCUCCGUGCAGCUGCUCAUCACUGUGGCCAUCAUCGCUAUCUUCACCUUUGUGGAACCUGUCAGCGCCUUUGUGAGGAGAAAUGUGGCUGUCUACUACGUGUCCUAUGCUGUCUUCGUUGUCACCUACCUGAUCCUUGCCUGCUGCCAGGGACCCAGGUGAGUCCCAGAGACUUAGACAGUGAGAGGGGUGA
rnacentral:sRNA from 1 species